rnacentral:rRNA from 1 species
GAUGAACGCUGGCGGCGUGCCUAAUACAUGCAAGUCGAGCGAACAGACGAGGAGCUUGCUCCUCUGACGUUAGCGGCGGACGGGUGAGUAACACGUGGAUAACCUACCUAUAAGACUGGGAUAACUUCGGGAAACCGGAGCUAAUACCGGAUAAUAUAUUGAACCGCAUGGUUCAAUAGUGAAAGACGGUUUUGCUGUCACUUAUAGAUGGAUCCGCGCCGCAUUAGCUAGUUGGUAAGGUAACGGCUUACCAAGGCAACGAUGCGUAGCCGACCUGAGAGUGUGAUCGUCCACACUGGAACUGAGACACGGUCCAGACUCCUACGGGAGGCAGCAGUAGGGAAUCUUCCGCAAUGGGCGAAAGCCUGACGGAGCAACGCCGCGUGAGUGAUGAAGGUCUUCGGAUCGUAAAACUCUGUUAUUAGGGAAGAACAAAUGUGUAAGUAACUAUGCACGUCUUGACGGUACCUAAUCAGAAAGCCACGGCUAACUACGUG